GCAAACACCAGGGGGCCAUGGGUUAGUGAUAAGCUACCACUCACUGUCUGUGGCUGUGAGCUCGCUUUGACACCCGGGGAGUUGCUGACCAUGUUAGUGCGGUGACUGUACAAAGAUGUGGCAACUGAGCCCCGCAACCAGCAGCCAUAAUAUGGAGCCAUUUACGCUAUGUUAUAAUUUUUAAAACUUUUUUUUUUUUUGCGUUUCUUCGUUCACAAAAUGAUAUGCUAUGACAGGCACCGGCUAGAAAAACAGAGCUACAAUUUCAUCAUCAUCAUCAUCAUCAUCAUCUACUACGCACACAGCAUGGCCAAUUCUCUGCCCGAGUCUCAAAACAGAAGUGGUGUUAGCUCCUGGCCAACUUGAGGCUGGACCUUGAGAGACGAGAGGAGGGAGGUAGGAGCUGAUGGAGGGUGUGGCUUGAAUCUGUUACUGCUUCUCAGUUACAACCCAACUGUUCUCAAUGGGUUGCAGGAAGUGUUGUGGUGUCUCUGACAACCAUUAAACAAGUUGAAUAAGAUUCACAUCUUAUUCAACAUGAGUGAAUCAGUGAUCAUUGCAUACAAAUUGUCACAAAUUUCCACACAUGAUACACACUAAGUAUUUCGUCCUCCUCUGCCUCCUCCUCUCUCAGCUGUCAGCCUCUCAGUGGCCACGUCACUGCAUGGUUUUGGACAGAUGCUACAUGCACUUUGUGCUCCGGCAUACAGGAGGGGCAGGCCAUCAUGAGAUCUACCAGCUCCCCCAUUACUUCACGACCUACCACCUCCUCUCCAGUAAACCUGCCAACAAUGCCCUGCAGCAGGCGGAUCUCAAAACACUCCUGUCAGGUGGCUUUGCGUGAGGGUGACUGGUAGAGGAGAAGGCGUGGUUUUGGAGGAGGCGGCACUCAGUGAAAAGGUUAAUUGGUCGACUGGUCAGGCAGUGGAGGAGCAAGGCAAGGUGUUACAGAAUCUGCUGUAUGCAGUGACUGUGGAGGAGAGAGAGAGACCACGCCAGAAGCAAAAAGAAGAGGAAGAGGGAGAACAGGUAAAUGUCAAGAAACAAAGGAACAAGAACAGGCAGACAGAACACACCAACCACAUGAAAAACAGCACUUUGACAAAAGAAAGAUUCUAAAGGAACAGUUCAACAUUCAGGGAACUGAAGCUCUGACUAAAGUUCAGACAGGCAGAGUACUCUUUCGCACGCUCAGUCCUUUGGUUUAUUUCUCAUACCAACCUCUCAUUCAGUCCUCUCACUCAUGCUCACAUAUAACUGCCUGUCAUCAUCUGGGGCCUUCAAUCGAUAUCAGCUGCUCAAAUCAGCCUGGCACAUAAACACCCAAUAGCACAGUGGAACACCCUCAAGGUUAGCCCAUCAUCUUGCUGCUGUCUUUUUGAAUAUGACUGUCUCCUGCUCUCUAGUUCAUUCAUUCUGCGUGCAUUCAUGCAGCAUUUUUGGGGGGUAAUUUCAGCUUGAAUCAUCAAGAAAAAUAUAAUAUUUAUGGACCUUUUUUCCAGCAAGCUGAUGUCUGAUUAUCCAGACUAAAGGAGAAAUGCUCUUCUCAACCUGUAUUUGCCUAUACACAGCUUCAUCAGCUCUUCCAGGACACUCAGCUGUUGUCAACAACCUGAUCACCACCACACUGUCUCUGGCUUAUUUCAUCCAUGCUAACUCCACACACCUUCAGUUAGAGGAAAGUAAUUUAUCAUUGAUCCUCAUCGCUGCCAUUUCUGUUCAGCCUUUGCAACAUUGCUUUAUAUCCAUGCUGUUCAUCAUUCUCAGGCCUCUGUGCAGAGGGCUACAACUUUCUCAUGCAAAAAAAUAUAAAAUAAAAAUGAGCCUCAUCCUGCCAAAACAAGGUUCAUGAAGUCUGAUUACCGAUGUUAUCACCUCUCUCCUCAAUAAAUGAUCUGCGUUCAGCUU